CUGUAAAGCGCCAGGUCCAACGCGGGGCUGGAGCCCAACAGGGUGGAACCCAACGACUUGAGGUGCCCGUCAACGCGGAACUGGAGGCCCAGGACCGACGGGCUGUAGCUCAGGUAAUUGAGGCGCCCGCGUCUCUCCAGCUCCAGCAGCUGCAGCCACGAGUGACAGCCCGAAACGCGGCCCUUCUUCAGCUCCCCUGCGGGAACACGCGUGUUACCGUAUGACGAGUCCAACGCGGCGCCGCCUGAGCGCGAAUAGCGGCCGAACCACAUUCGGUGCAGAGCAGAGCGAAGAGCUGAGCGGGACGGCCACAGCCCUGAGGGGACACACAGCGCUGCCCCAUAGAGCUGACCCAUAGAGCUGCCCCAUAGAGCUGACCCAUAGAGCAGACCCAUAGUGCUUCCCCAUAGAGCUGACCCAUAGUGCUGCCUUAUAGACCAGACCCAUAGCACUGCCCCAUAGACCAGACCCAUAGAGCUGCCCCAUAGAGCUGACCCACAGCGCAGACCCAUAGUGCUGCCCUAUAGACCAGACCCAUAGCACUGCCCCAUAGACCAGACCCAUAGUGCUGCCCCAUAGACCAGACCCACAGCCCUGCAGGGGGAUUCAGACCCACAGCACUGCCCCAUAGAUCAGACCCACAGCUCUCCCUCCCCCUCGCCCCCCCCCGUUACCGCUGUCCAUGAGCGCGGUGCUGAACUCGCCGUCCAUCACGGCGUCAAUGAACCUCGUCUGUUCGUCCUUC